GACGAACGCUGGCGGCGUGCUUAACACAUGCAAGUCGAACGGUAAGGCCCUUCGGGGUACACGAGUGGCGAACGGGUGAGUAACACGUGGGUGAUCUGCCCUGCACUUCGGGAUAAGCCUGGGAAACUGGGUCUAAUACCGGAUAGGACCCUGGGAUGCAUGUCCUGGGGUGGAAAGCUUUUGCGGUGUGGGAUGGGCCCGCGGCCUAUCAGCUUGGUGGUGGGGUGAUGGCCUACCAAGGCGACGACGGGUAGCCGGCCUGAGAGGGUGACCGGCCACACUGGGACUGAGAUACGGCCCAGACUCCUACGGGAGGCAGCAGUGGGGAAGAUUGCACAAUGGGCGCAAGCCUGAUGCAGCGACGCCGCGUGAGGGAUGACGGCCUUCGGGUUGUAAACCUCUUUCAGCACCGACGAAGCGCAAGUGACGGUAGGUGCAGAAGAAGGACCGGCCAACUACGUGCCAGCAGCCGCGGUAA
rnacentral:rRNA from 1 species